CAAGGUAUAGCUCAGGGGUAGAGCACAUGCUUAGCAUGCACGAGGUCCUGGGUUCAAUCUCCAGAACCUCCA
rnacentral:tRNA from 1 species